AUUGAACGCUGGCGGCAGGCCUAACACAUGCAAGUCGAACGAGUGGCGGACGGGUGAGUAAUGUCUGGGAAACUGCCUGAUGGAGGGGGAUAACUACUGGAAACGGUAGCUAAUACCGCAUACCAUCGGAUGUCCCCAGAUGGGAUUAGCUAGUAGGUGGGGUAACGGCUCACCUAGGCGACGAUCCCUAGCUGGUCUGAGAGGAUGACCAGCCACACUGGAACUGAGACACGGUCCAGACUCCUACGGGAGGCAGCGGAUGGGAAUCUUGGACAUUGGGCGCAAGCCUGACGCAGCACUUCCGCCGUGAGGAAGUAGGCCUUCGGGUUGUAAAGUUCUUUCAGCGCGGAGGCGUUACCCGCACAAGAAGCUCCGGCUAACUCCGUGGCAGCAGCCGCGGUAAUUC
rnacentral:rRNA from 1 species